AGAGUUUGAUCCUGGCUCAGAUUGAACGCUGGCGGCAGGCCUAACACAUGUCCGUCGAGCGGUAGAAAGAAGCUUGCUUCUCUUGAGAGCGGCGGACGGGUGAGUAAUGCCUAGGAAUCUGCCUGGUAGUGGGGGAUACCGUCCGGAAACGGACGCUAAUACCGCAUACGUCCUACGGGAGAAAGCAGGGGACCUUCGGGCCUUGCGCUAUCAGAUGAGCCUAGGUCGGAUUAGCUAGUUGGUGAGGUAAUGGCUCACCAAGGCGACGAUCCGUAACUGGUCUGAGAGGAUGAUCAGUCACACUGGAACUGAGACACGGUCCCAGACUCCUACGGGGAGGCAGCAGUGGGGAAAUAUUGGACAUGGGGCGAAAAGCCUGAUCCCAGCCCUGCCGCGUGGUGUGAAGAAGGUCUUCCGGAUUGGUAAAGCACUUUAAGUUUGGGAGGAAGGCAGUGGCCUAAAUACCGUAAUUGUUUUGGACGUCCCCGACAGGAAUAAGGCACCGGCUAACUCUGGUGCCCGCCAGCCCGGGGUAAA
rnacentral:rRNA from 1 species